GCCGGCAUAGCUCAGUUGGCCAGAGCAAUUGAUUUGUAAUCAAUGGGUCGGGGGUUCGAAUCCCUCUGCCGGCUCCA
rnacentral:tRNA from 1 species